AGUGCCAGGAUGCCAGCGCCUCGCCUGGUCACUGCGGGGACCGCAGCUGGACAGCAGGGAUCCCCCUCAAGCCGGGUUCCAGGAGUUAGGGUCUCCCCAGGAAAGGAGAUUGCGCUCUUCCUAGCCCGGACCCAGGGAAUCCCGUGCCCCGCCCGCAGGGCCCAGGCGCCGCGCCCUCUCCGCGCUCCAGCCUACCGCAACCCCACCACCCCGUUCCUCGAUCGGCUCCGGACUCCGCGGGCAGCGGGCGCCCUUCGGGGAAAAGCCGUGGAAACACACCCGGAUUGAAAUGCCCCUGGCCCGCCUGACCCGACCCCAGGAGAAGCAGCCGAGUUACCCGACAUCGUGGUCAGCAGGAGCUGGGUCGGUGGCUGGAUGCUGCAGCUGCAGGGACUCAGCGCCUGGGAGGGCUCCUGGGGCAGGGAGAGAAGCAGAGAUGCAACAUUUUUAAAGUUUCACAAAGCAUCCGGCUGCACCCAGGUCCCUGGAACAGGAGACAAACAGAAUUAAUGUUUUAUACCUUCGGGUAUAGGAUUGAGUUUUUUCCCCCUCAUGCCAAGUAUUUAAAACCUCUAGAAACCCAUGAUUUGACAAUCAAUGAUUGCGCGAUACUUUCAAUUUGAAUAUUCAAAGGCUUAACAAAAUGGACUAUCUUCUGCAGAAAUCCUGCACACAGGCACCCCGCAGAGAGUCCAGAGAAACAGGGAGUGAGACCCCUUUGGAUCCUGGCCCUUGCUUUUAUUAUAUUUUGAGCAUUUUGUCCUCCUUCCCACAGACAGAGCAGAUGUCCUCAAAGAUGCUCUGUAUUUCAGCCUUCAGGGCAGCUAGGGAGCCAUGAGUGACUUAGGCUGCCCUGGCCAUGAACACCAGAGCCAGACUGGCUGGCCCGACUGAUUCCCGCAUCCCCCAUCUGUGUUUUGAGGGGAAAUCUCAGGUUUUGAGGAAUGAACAUGGCAGCUAGUGGGUGUGGCACAGCAAGAAGUCGCUCUGGGCCCAGGUGGCAGGCCAGCGGCCUAGCAGAGGCCUUCGCUGUGCACCUCCUAUUUUUCUGGCUCCGCCUGGCUACCAGCGGGCUUCCCUCCCCCUUUCAUCCCGCUCUUCCUGGGCCCGACACUGGGGUUUCUGCUCAGAAUGACUGCCCAUUAAGACCCUUUGCUCCUGCCCACAGAGCUGGGGAUGUCUCAUCCUCUGGAGACUUUCUGACUCUGGAUUUCACUACUGCACUGUGAAGUGCCCUCUUUGCUUUUUCUCCCUCUAGAGCCACCCCUGCCUUUUUGCUGUAGGAGCACAUGUUAGGAAACAGUGACAAGUUUGGCUCCUGCUCAUUUUAACUGAAAGGACGUGGACUUAGGUUCAAGCCUUCUCCCGCUGGGGUGAGAAGGGGGAGGGACUUGGGAUCAGGCUUCCCCCUUGGUCCAGGGCCAAGCCCCUCACUAAUGACUUGGGAUUCUACUGGGUCAUCUUCUGUGAGUACUUACUGUGCCUCUUCCAUGUGAUUUGGAAGGUGAGGAGACAGGAAUGGUCCACAGAGGGAGAGAGUGCCAGGCCAAAUCCUCUCAUAGCCACCCACCCCCUCCACAGAAGGGGACAGCAAGAGAAGACAGACAGACACGGUGGGGUUCCUUUUGCAAAUAACCAAGAUAUUUCCAGGAUUCAGGACCAGGCCACGGUUUUAGGCCUCUGCUCUUUGUUCUCUGAGUUCUCAGAAAUGCAAAAAGUGUAAUUUAGCCCCAAAGGCCUCUAGAAAAAGAUUGGGGUGCCCCCACAUGUGUCAAAUACAGAAUGAGACACACAGAGCUUAGGGAAAGGGCAACUGAGAAUGACAAGACUGAUAGGAAUUGCUUGGCAGCUGAAGCCACAUCUCUGGGGGAGAGGAGCAGGCCUGGGAACACCUGAGGUGGCACCUGGCAGUGGAGGGCAGGAUGGAUGUAUUGAAAUCUGACAGCUUCUGGAGCUUCUUUCUACAAAUGCCCCUGAGCCUGUGUCCUAGGUUUCCCUGAUGGACCAGACCUGAGGAGGGGAAGGACAAUGGGAGUGGAGAUAGCACCUCCCCUCCCUGCAUACCUUCUUCCCCGCUGUGCCUAGGCAUCACCCCCUCUGAAGGAACAGUGAACCAAGCAGCUUGGAAUCUAGGGAUGGUCUCUUGUCCUCAUAGCGUCUUCCAUUACUUCUUUUCUUUGCUGCUCUCCUCCUUUUUGUUGUACUCUUAUUUUUUGAUUUGCUUUUAAAAACCUUCUUUUUUGUUGCAUUUUUGUUUAUUUCUUUCCGUGUUUCUUUGUCUCUCUUCCUGUUAUUGCUUUCUUCCAUUUCUUGUUUGCACUACUGGUUUUCUCCCUGGCUUCACGUGUCUCUGUGUUCCCCUGUGCUGGAGUGUCCUCCCAAUGCUUUCAGGCUUCAUCUCCUUCCUAACCUCUCCUUUCAUGUGGAGAUGGACAGGAAUGGCAGGAGCAUUGAGUGCUCUUGGCAACACCAUUGAAGAUGGUGUUGACGAUCAGCUACCCUGUGGAGAAGGCAGGCCAGGCUGGGUGAGAGGGGAGCUCCUUGGAAGUCAGGGGGUCUGUAAGGACAGCAAGGAUCUCUUUGUCCCAACUUCCAGAAGCCUUUGUGGGUGCUUCUGUGUUGGCCUUGUUUCUGGAAUGGCCAUCUCAGUGCUGUUGCUGGCUAGCAAUUUCAGAAAACUAGAUUUGUCUAGGCCUGAGCCGUGUUUUGAGAAAGAAGCUUCCCUCUGGUUUGUAGCCCAACAUUAAUGAGUUUUGAUUCUUGUUGUUUCUAUAAUUACAAAACCACUAGCACAGGUAUUUAAGAGCCAAAUGCCAUGCUUGUGGAAGUAAAGAAGGAAUCUUUCUAAAUGGAUCCUGCAAAUCCUCCUUACAGAUCUGAGUGGUUGAUCAGACCCAGAGCAACCCUGAGAUCCCAGGUACCCACAGCAUUGGCUAUUCUUCAUAGGUGACUCAGAGAAGGCUUCAUAGGAGACUCAUUGUUGUUUACUGGACAUCAGGUGCUAUAUUGUAUAGCAUUCACAUUCCACAGGUGAGGAAACAGGCUCAGAGGAAUAAGUGGCAUGCCAAGAUCAUCGAGCAUAUCAGUAGCAGAAUUAGGAUUCAGACUUUCAUAGGUCUAACUCCAAAGCCCUGGGUUUUUUUUUUUUUUUUUUUUUUUUUUGAGAUGAAAUCUCACUCUGUCCCCAGGCUGGAGUGCAGUGGCAUGAUCUGAGCUCACUGCAACCUCUGCCUCCUGGGUUCAAGUGAUUCCCCUGCCUCAGCCUCCUGAGUAGCUGGGACUACAGGAUGCACCACCACGCCCAGCUAGUUUUUGUAUUUUUAGUAGAGAGGAGGUUUCACCAUGUUGGCCAGGAUGGUCUCCAUCUUUUGACCUCAUGAUCUGCCUGCCUCGGCCUCCCAAAGUGCUGGGAUUACAGGCAUGAGCCACCACACCUGGCCUUUGCUCUUAACUACUGAUGUUGUCUUCCUGAUCUUUUCUACCAGAAGCUUUUAAACUUUUUGGACUUUAGCCUACAAUAAGAAAUCUGUUUUACAUGUUCACAUGUAUCUAUAGCAACAUUUAUAUUUCUAAAACAAACUUUUCAUGAAACAACAUAUACCUACGUAUGUGAGGCACUCUGAUAUUUUCUAUUCUAGUCCACCUUUGCCAUUUCAUUAUAUUUAUGGAAAAUAUAUGUUGGUUGGGAGUCGCUAAGUUAAUUUAAUGACCCACUAAUAGGCUGUGAGUGGCAUUGGAAAAAUACCUGCUUGUAAGAUAUGCGAACACACGUUUCAAGGUUGUUUGUGCAUGUGGAAAUAUUUUGGGGUGCUAUCUGUUUUACCAUCAGUUUGUACAAGGACACUAAGACAGUGUAGCCUGCUGACUUGAGAAUGUUCUGUAAGGACUGGAAACACUAGAACCUUGAAGAAAUGCCUGGCUAGAGGUGAGGGUAAGCUGUUAAUUACACUGAUUACAGUUUGUGCCUCUCAGACUGAGAACUCUUCCUUCUUGCUAGGGGCAUUUCUACCUCUAGGAUGUUUGCCCUGAAGUCCUGAUAGUCUCUUUGGGGUUUUAAUAAAUGGCUGAAAAAAUUGUUGUGGGGUUUCAACAGGCGUUCAUAGGCAUCCUUGCUUGGCAAUAUAACAUGGCUUUUGAUGUUUGGGUGUUGGAAGGGAUCUUUGAAGGGCUGAGAGGGACUCAGAGUCUUUUUCCAAAAUCUCUGCUUGUGUCUGUCCAGCCUCUAGCUCCACUGCUUGGCUGAGAUCCUGGGUCACAGUAGAAUCUGUGUAGAGGAAAUGAGAGCUCACUAUUUGUGAGGCAGCCUGUUCCACUAUUGGACUGCUUUAAAUGUAGUGACCAGUGAUUAUGCUAUAAUCCAAUCAUGUAUUUGGGCACCAACUAUGCACUAGGCAUGGUAUCAAGUACCAGGAGUACAAAAAUUAGUAAACUUUGAUUUCUGCUAUCAAUUUCUCUCUUCUCCUACUUCUGUACUACUGCUUUUCUAUUGUGAGUUUGUUUAGUUCAUUAAUUGGUUCAUUCAUUCAUUCAACAAUCAUACACUGAUUAGCUACUCUGACCAGGUCCAGUACUAAGUCUAAAGAAGUUAUGCCCAUCCCAUCUCCACCCCAAGCCUUCUCCUUUUGAGACUCCUCAUCCAGUUUCUCUAGUUCUUCACAUGUCACUGUUUUUCAGAUCUCUGGCUAUCCUUGCCAUUGACCUCAGAAAUCCUGUAUUUGACCUUGACCUUCUUAUACCCAGUCUGUACCCAAAGUGAUGGGAAUGGAAUAGAUUUCUUUUUAAAAUUUUAAACUGAAUAUUUUGACUGAAAAAUUUUGGCAGUCUUUUGUAUGCAAAUGACACCGCAGAGCAUUGUUUUCUUCCCCCACGUAGGAGAUUUCAUUCAACUUAGGCACAGGCAUAUUAAAAGACUUUUAGUAUAAGGAAAAGGGAUAGUUUAUUCCCUCCAAAUUUGACUACAGCUUGAAAUUGUCUUUAUUAAUGCAAAGUUCUUUUGUCACCUUGACUUUGGGACACUGUUACCAAACCUUGUGGGAAAUAUCAAGUUCCAGAAGAUUGAAUACAUGUAGGAAACGAAUGUUUUUUGGGCCCUAGAGUGAACAUUUGGUCCAUAUGAAAAUGACCAGGAAGACAAUUAGGUGAAGGUUUUUUAAUGAUUUGUGCUACGUCAGUCUCUUCCCAUAAGACAUAUUCAAAGUUUUAACUUUUCUUUAAGCGGCUUCCAUGGGAGCAAGCAUUUGGUAAUUCAUCCUUUAACUAAGAAAAACACCACUGUACACUGCUUGAAGAGUUCCUCUCCUAUUACUUAAAACGUUUUUAUUGUGCAACAUUUAAGGCAUACAAAAACAUAUAAAGAAUACCAUGAUGAAAAUCUAUGACUAUAUUAUCAAGCUUAAGAAAUAAAACAGUUGAGUGAUCUUUCAUUUAUGAUUAAAUUAACUUAUUAAAACCAUUAAAACUUUUGGAUGAUUCUUGUUAA
rnacentral:antisense_RNA from 1 species